GUUCUCAGGGACUCUGCCCUUUGGUCCUACCCAGUAGAUCGAGUGCAGAGUUUUCAAGAAAGACUUGCAGAAGCAGAAAUGGCUCACCCUCAGCCUGGAGCUUUUCAUGACUCUCCAGAAGAAAUGUCAACAGCCUUUUGUUUGGGUGAGCACGCCAAGACUAGCCCAGAGGACUCCUUUAGAUGCACUUGUGUGCCUGUCCUUCUGCACCAAGUCACACACAAGCCAGCUCUUCUGAUGCUCCAAAGCUGCCAUUGGCUCCUUGUAUAGCCUACAGAGCUAACUGUGCAUCGGCCUCCAUCCUGGGCAGGACUGAGGUCUCUUCAGUCUCCCUCUCCCCACUCAGCAGCCAAUCCAGGGCCAGGGCCUUUACAGUUUUACGUAAAUUUCAUCAGAACCCUUUGAUCCAACUAAAGUUUACUUCUCCCAGAUGUUGCAAAACAGCUAUCUUGGCUGCAUUUUUAAAAAUUGUCUUCCCAAUGUCCAGUGUAAUUCUUGGUACUCAAUAAAA
rnacentral:lncRNA from 1 species